rnacentral:rRNA from 1 species
GACGAACGCUGGCGGCGUGCUUAACACAUGCAAGUCGAACGGAAAGGCCCUGCUUUUGUGGGGUGCUCGAGUGGCGAACGGGUGAGUAACACGUGAGUAACCUGCCCUUGACUUUGGGAUAACUUCAGGAAACUGGGGCUAAUACCGGAUAGGAGCUCCUGCUGCAUGGUGGGGGUUGGAAAGUUUCGGCGGUUGGGGAUGGACUCGCGGCUUAUCAGCGUGUUGGUGGGGUAGUGGCUUACCAAGGCUUUGACGGGUAGCCGGCCUGAGAGGGUGACCGGCCACAUUGGGACUGAGAUACGGCCCAGACUCCUACGGGAGGCAGCAGUGGGGAAUAUUGCACAAUGGGCGGAAGCCUGAUGCGGCAACGCCGCGUGCGGGAUGACGGCCUUCGGGUUGUAAACCGCUUUCGCCUGUGACGAAGCGUGAGUGACGGUAAUGGGUAAAGAAGCACCGGCUAACUACGUG